rnacentral:rRNA from 1 species
UACGGGGGAGGCAAGCGUUGUUCGGAUUUACUGGGCGUAAAGGGCGCGUAGGCGGUCGUGACAAGUCACUUGUGAAAUCUCCGGGCUUAACUCGGAACGGUCAAGUGAUACUGUCGGACUAGAGUACAGAAGGGGGCAACUGGAAUUCUCGGUGUAGCGGUGAAAUGCGUAGAUAUCGAGAGGAACACCUGCGGCGAAGGCGGGUUGCUGGGCUGAUACUGACGCUGAGGCGCGAAAGCCAGGGGAGCGAACGGG